rnacentral:rRNA from 1 species
CAAUAUAAAUAAAAUUUAAUUUUAGAAGGGAAAUUUUUUUCAAAAAUUGUGAUAUUUGGUUUUAAAAAAAAACAUUAAGUUUUUUUAUAAAUAAAAUUAUUGAAAAAUAUUAUAGAAAAUUAAUUUUAGGAUAAGGUAAAAUUAAAAAUUUUAUUUAUAAUACAAAAAAAAAAGAAAGAUUAAAAUUUUCUUUUUUAUUUUAAUAAAUAUAUUUAUAUUAAAAUAAGAAAAUACUUAUUAAAUUUAUUGAAUUUAAUAAAAUUUUUAAAUAAAAAUGAAAAUAUAAGUAAAAGUUAUUUUAACAAAAAAUAUUAAAUAAAUUUAAAUAAAAAUAAAAAUAAUUUUUAAGAACUCGGCAAAAAAUUUUUCUAACUGUUUAAUAAAAACAAUUCAUUUAGAAAAAAAAAUUUAUUAAAUGUAAUUUCUGCUCAAUGAAUUUAUUUUUAAUUGCUGUAGUAUUUUGACUAUACAAAGGUAUUGUAAUAAGAUUUUAAUUGAAUGCUAAAAGAAUGGAAAUUUAGAAAAAAACUUUUUUGAAAUUAAAAAUUGAAUUUUUUUUAAUUUGUGCAGAAACAAUUAUUUAUAUUAAAGACAAGAAGACCCUAUGAAUUUAAAGAUUAAUUCAAUUAAUUUUGUUAAUUGAAUUAAUCUUGAUUGGGGCGAUCAAAAAAUAUUAAUAACUUUUUUAAAUUAAAAUGAUCUAUUAUUAAUAAACUAAUGAAAUAAAUACUCUAGGGAUAACAGCGUAAUAAUUUUUGAUAGAUCUUAUAGACAAAAUAGUUUGCGACCUCGAUGUUGGAUUAGGAUUCUUUUUUAAUGAAGAUGUUAAAAAAAGAAGUUUGUUCAACUUUUAAAUUCCUACAUGAUCUGAGUUUAAACCGAUGAGAAUCAGGUUGGAUUCUAUCUUAAUAAUUAAUUUUAUUUUAGUUAGUACGAAAGGAAUACUAAAAAUUAAUUGUUAAGAUAAUCAACUUUAUUUGCAUCAAUUUUUGGAAAAAAUUAAAGUGGCAGAAAAAUGCAAGGAAUUUAAGCUUCCUUAAUG